rnacentral:lncRNA from 1 species
AUCAUUUUAAUAACUUAACUAAUAGCACCGCCCCCAAGGAAGUUACCUAUAGGUCCUUCCUACAUUAUCCAAGAACUAUAAGGAUCCGCCCAUCGCAUUUUUAAUAUGGAACAACUCUAGGAUAUCAACCUUCGCCCAUAUCAACCUCAUGUCAACCUCCAAGAAGAAACUUGAACACUUGUGUUCUUAGAACUAGAAGUCAUUUUGAUAAUUUACCUUUUUUUCUGAACUUCUGAUGAAAAAGAAGGAAAAAGAUGGGGAAAGAAGCUCGAAUCAGUGAAAACUUUGCCCAACCAAAGUUUUCGACAAUUAUUCAAACGGAAUUGCACAAAGAGCUCACCAGUGAUUGGUUUAAAUUUACCAUAAAUUUCCUUACAAACUAAAAGUUCUGAAAUCACUGGUUUUGCAAAGUAAAAAAAAUCACAAAAUGGCUAGGGAACCCAUUUUAUAGGUGAAUGGGAUGAAACACGGACGUCAAAUCAAAUAGAAUCAAUCUUGAACCUCCAUAUGAAUAGAUAAUCCGAGCUCUUGAAUACGAAAAGUACACCUUCAAUUUUGAAUGAGCCAGGAUUGUAGCGUGACUCUCAUGCACAUACUAAAUCAGGUCGCCUCAGAUGAUAUAAAAAAUAUCAUAUCACUGUGCAUUUAAUGUGCACGUAUUGCAUGCAUCAAACAUGCGGCACCUCAGUCGUUGUCUCUUGGAAUGACGCAACAUUUCAAAAUCAUUUGUUGUACGUCUUAUCAAGAUUUAGCCAAGUUGAUGUGAUCCAAGAGUCAUGCUCGAAGAAGGCAAGUGCAGAACGAGAUCCAUUGAUAUUCGAAGGCGGGCCAAUGACGCGAUCGAGGGAAAAGCGAGUAAAGCAAGAGAUGGGAUAGUUCAUUCAAGAAACAGUUGACAAAACAUCGUUGGGGACGCAAAACGUGCAACUUUCGUGUUUGGUUCGACAGCCAAAUCAAAGUGGAUCAAUUCAAUACAAGUAGACGAAGUUAGAGGCCCAGGCGACGACUAUGUGGUCGCAUAGUGUAUUCCGGGGGCGAGAUUUCUCCUUUUACACGAACUUUCCUUAUUUCGUUAGAAUUUUAUUAUAGACAAUAUUCUUGUAAUCUUUAAUUCCGUUUUAAAGCUAGGAUUAGAGUUUUAUUCCUAUUAAAACUAGUUUCUAGAUUUUUCUACAUAUACUAUAGGUUUAUUUUGUUUGUAAAACAUUACCUUACAUUAUUUGGAGAAUUUCUAAUAGAGAGG